rnacentral:rRNA from 1 species
UACGAAGGGGGCUAGCGUUGCUCGGAAUCACUGGCGUAAGCGCACGUAGGCGGACUCUUAAGUCGGUGGUGAAAUCCUGGAGCUCAACUCCAGAACUGCCUUCGAUACUGAGAGUCUCGAGUCCGGGAGAGGUGAGUGGAACUGCCGAGUGUAGAGGUGAAAUUCGUAGAUAUUCGCAAGAACACCAGUGGCGAAGGCGGCUCACUGGCCCGGUACUGACGCUGAGGUGCGAAAGCGUGGGGAGCAAACAGG